rnacentral:rRNA from 1 species
UACGGAGGAUGCAAGCGUUAUCCGGAAUGAUUGGGCGUAAAGCGUCCGCAGGUGGCUAUGUAAGUCUGCUGUUAAAGAGCAAAGCUUAACUUUGUAAAAGCAGUGGAAACUACAUAGCUAGAGUGCGUUCGGGGCAGAAGGAAUUCCUGGUGUAGCGGUGAAAUGCGUAGAGAUCAGGAAGAACACCGGUGGCGAAGGCGCUCUGCUAGGCCGCAACUGACACUGAGGGACGAAAGCUAGGGGAGCGAAUGGG